GUGUGUAAUUCUAUUCUUUUAUGUUUUUUAGACUUCGCUAGAGUAUCUCCCAAGUUUCCUGCUUGCCUUUGAAACACAUUCAAAAAUGACUGGAUUUGCUGUCGUGGAAUUUGUAGACGAGAAGGCGGUUGAGGUUAUUCACAAGUCAUGGAUAGAAAGAAGGGAUGAGGUUCUGUACUGCUAGUGGCCCACAAACAACGUUUCUGUACAUGUAAGGAGAGAGAAAUUGCCGGACAA